UACAGAGGUCUCAAGCGUUGUUCGGAUUCAUUGGGCGUAAAGGGUGCGUAGGUGGCAGGGUAAGUCGGAUGUGAAAUCCCGGGGCUCAACCCCGGAACUGCAUUCGAUACUGCUUUGCUAGAGUACUGGAGAGGAGAUUGGAAUUUACGGUGUAGCAGUGAAAUGCGUAGAUAUCGUAAGGAAGACCAGUGGCGAAGGCGGAUCUCUGGACAGUUACUGACACUGAGGCACGAAGGCCAGGGGAGCAAACCAGG
rnacentral:rRNA from 1 species